rnacentral:rRNA from 1 species
CCUACGGGUGGCAGCAGUGGGGAAUAUUGCACAAUGGGCGCAAGCCUGAUGCAGCCAUGCCGCGUGUAUGAAGAAGGCCUUCGGGUUGUAAAGUACUUUCAGCGGGGAGGAAGGUGUUGUGGUUAAUAACCACAGCAAUUGACGUUACCCGCAGAAGAAGCACCGGCUAACUCCGUGCCAGCAGCCGCGGUAAUACGGAGGGUGCAAGCGCUAAUCGGAAUUACUGGGCGUAAAGCGCACGCAUGCGGUCUGUCAAGUCGGAUGUGAAAUCCCCGGGCUCAACCUGGGAACUGCAUUCGAAACUGGCAGGCUAGAGUCUUGUAGAGGGGGGUAGAAUUCCAGGUGUAGCGGUGAAAUGCGUAGAGAUCUGGAGGAGUACCGGUGGCGAAGGCGGCCCCCUGGACAAAGACUGACGCUCAGGUGCGAAAGCGUGGGGAGCAAACAGGAUUAGAUACCCUAGUAG